CGCGUAGGCGGCUUUCUAAGUCCGACGUGAAAUCCCCAGGCUCAACCUGGGAACUGCGUCUGAUACUGGGAGGCUUGAGUGCGGGAGAGGGAUGCGGAAUUCCAGGUGUAGCGGUGAAAUGCGUAGAUAUCUGGAGGAACACCGGUGGCGAAGGCGGCAUCCUGGACCGACACUGACGCUGAGGCGCGAAAGCUAGGGUAGCAAACG
rnacentral:rRNA from 1 species